AUUGAACGCUGGCGGCAUGCCUUACACAUGCAAGUCGAACGGUAACAGGUCUUCGGAUGCUGACGAGUGGCGAACGGGUGAGUAAUACAUCGGAACGUGCCCGAGAGUGGGGGAUAACGAGGCGAAAGCUUUGCUAAUACCGCAUACGAUCUCAGGAUGAAAGCAGGGGACCGCAAGGCCUUGCGCUCACGGAGCGGCCGAUGGCAGAUUAGGUCGUUGGUGGGAUAAAAGCUUACCAAGCCGACGAUCUGUAGCUGGUCAGAGAGGACGACCAGCCACACUGGGACUGAGACACGGCCCAGACUCCUACGGGAGGCAGCAGUGGGGAAUUUUGGACAAUGGGCGCAAGCCUGAUCCAGCCAUGCCGCGUGCAGGAUGAAGGCCUUCGGGUUGUAAACUGCUUUUGUACGGAACGAAAAGACUCCUUCUAAUAAAGGGGGUCCAUGACGGUACCGUAAGAAUAAGCACCGGCUAACUACGUGCCAGCCGCCGCCGUAACAC
rnacentral:rRNA from 1 species